UAAUUCAGCAGCUGAGGAACUCAGGAAAGCCUGCUCCAAACUUCUCAGCUGUUGACAGGCUUGACUUGCUGAGAACACUGGUUAAAUAUAGCACAAGCGAGCUGAGCUCAACAAAGUCAUUGCUGUAACACUGUGUGAAGAGACCAGAAGAGGGGAAAUACAAUCUGAGAACUAAACUGCCAAAGCCUAACACCACCUAGCAACAGCUGAAAAAACUUUUAAACAAAAGUCUGGGUGAGACACAGACAGAAUAUACCUCCUGCUUCUCCUGCCUGGGAUUUCUGCGAGAAGCAGCUCUGGUCUUCUGUUCUCUACCUUGUUUCCUUCAUUACUUCAACUGCUGGUAGACCUAGAAAAGUGGGAAAAGUUUCUAUCUUUGUGCUCUCCUGAGCUGGAUCAUUCUCCUCCUGUGGUAGUGCUGUGGGACGGGCUACUGCGAUCUUGCAGUGUAAAGGAUAUAUUCCUAGGUCCGUGUUGCUGACAGGGAGCAGCAGGGACACCAGUCAGCCUCAGGUGGGAGCAGCAGAGCCAUGGCACAGGGACACCUCUACCCUCGACUCCCUCCUCCCCACUCCGGACCUAGAUUCUAGUGAAGCCCCUGCCCUGGGAGCAUCCCUCGACACAGGCAGGGAUGAGAUCCCGAAACCAAGGUGGAGAAAGCUCGUCUAACGGGCACUUCUCCAGUUCCAAGCCUGUCAUCAGCCAUGCAGAGAAUGAAAAACUUCAGGAGGAUGCCAAGAAAAAGAACAAACCUCAUCGGAAGGAAGAUGAGGUCAUGGUUUCAGCAACUGUCAAACGGCACUCAAAAUCACCUGGUCCUUGUGAGCGAAAGAACAAGAAGUCCAUAGAGCUUUCUAAAGAAGACUUGAUCAAACUACUCAGUAUAAUGGAAGGAGAAUUGCAGGCAAGGGAGGAUGUGAUCCACAUGCUGAAGACAGAGAAAACCAAACCUGAAGUUUUAGAAGCUCAUUACGGGUCUGCAACUCCAGAGAAUGUGCUUCGAGUGCUACACAGGGAUGCCAUUCUUGCCCAAGAAAAGUCUAUAGGGGAAGAUGUCUACGAGAAACCAAUUUCAGAGCUGGACAGACUUGAAGAAAAGCAGAAAGAGACAUAUCGGCGUAUGCUGGAACAGCUCCUGCUGGCAGAAAAGUGCCAUCGUCGCACCGUUUAUGAGCUAGAAAAUGAGAAGCAUAAACAUACAGAUUACAUGAACAAGAGCGAUGACUUUACCAACCUCUUGGAACAGGAGCGGGAGAGGUUGAAGAAACUUCUUGAGCAGGAGAAGAUCUAUCAAGCCCGUAAGGAAAAGGAGCAUACAAAGAGAAUUAAUAAACUAAGAGAAGAACUAGUCAAGCUCAAAUCAUUUGCACUGAUGCUGGUGGAUGAAAGACAAAUGCAUAUUGAACAGCUUGGUCAACAAAGCCAGAAAAUACAAGACUUAACCCAAAAACUAAAGGAAGAAGAAGAAAAGCUUAAAAUUAUUACUGCAAAAACAAAAGAAGAUGGGCAAAAACUGAUGAAAUUAGAGGCAGAACUUGAACACAAAACAUUAUCAUUUUGUCAAGAACAUGAGGAGAUGACUGCUAAACUGGCUAAUCAAGAGUCACAUAAUAGACAGCUAAGGCUCAGGCUAGUGGGGUUGACUCGCAGAAUAGAGGAGCUAGAAGAAACUAACAAAAAUCUUCAAAAAGCUGAGGAGGAACUUCAAGAACUAAGAGAUAAAAUAGCGAAAGGGGAAUGUGGGAACUCUAGUUUAAUGGCAGAAGUGGAAAACCUCCGCAAGCACGUGCUUGAAAUGGAGGGGAAAGAUGAAGAGAUCACAAAAACUGAAUCACAGUGCAAAGAGUUGAAAAAUAAACUGCAAGAGGAAGAGCAUCAUAGCAAAGAGUUGAAACUUGAAGUGGAAAAACUGCAGAAAAGAAUGUCAGAAUUAGAGAAGCUGGAAGAGGCUUUCAGUAAAAGUAAGUCAGAAUGCACUCAGCUACACUUAAACUUGGAGAAAGAAAAAAAUUUGACUAAGGAUUUGAUAAAUGAGUUGGAAGUGGUGAAGACUCGUGUGAAGGACCUUGAGACAUCUGAAAGCAAGUUGGAAAAGGCUGAAAUAAGCUUAAAAGAUGACCUUACGAAGCUGAAGUCAUUUACUGUAAUGCUGGUUGAUGAGCGAAAAAAUAUGAUGGAAAAAAUAAAACAGGAGGAGAAAAAGGUUGAGGGCUUAAACAAGAAUUUUAAAGUUGAACAAGGGAAAGUUAUGGAUGUAACAGAGAAAUUGAUAGAAGAAAGUAAGAAAUUUUUGAAACUGAAAUCUGAAAUGGAGGAAAAAGUAUCUAGUUUGACAAAGGAAAGAGACGAGUUAAUUGGCAAACUGAGAAGUGAAGAAGAAAAAUCAUCUGAACUAAGCUGUAGAGUUGACCUGUUAAAGAAAAGAAUUGAUGGUAUGGAGGAAGUAGAAAGAGAAAUUACAAGAGGUCGGGCUAGGAAAGGAGCAGAGCAUGGUUGUCAUGAGGACAACAAGAUUAAGGAACUUACCAUUGAGAUCGAAAGACUGAAAAAACGUCUCAAACAACUGGAAGUGGUUGAAGGAGAUUUGAUGAAGACUGAAGAUGAGUAUGAUCAGCUAGAACAGAAAUUUAGGACUGAGCAGGAUAAAGCUAAUUUUCUUUCUCAGCAAUUGGAGGAGAUGAAACUCCAGAUUGCCAAAACGAAAGCAAUAGAAAAAGGUGAAGUAGUGAGCCAGGAGGCAGAGUUUAGGCACAGGUUUCGUCUGGAAGAGGCCAAAAGCAGAGAUUUGAAAGCAGAAGUUCAAGCACUUAAGGAAAAAAUCCAUGAGCUCAUGAACAAAGAAGACCAGCUUUCUCAGCUCCAAGUCGAUUAUUCAGUUCUACAGCAAAGGUUUAUGGAAGAGGAAAACAAAAACAAGAGCAUGGGGCAGGAAGUCUUGAACCUGACAAGAGAGCUGGAGCUUUCUAAGCGUUACAGCCGCGCUCUGAGGCCCAGCAUGAACGGGAGAAGAAUGGUCGAUGUUCCCGUGACGUCCACCGGCGUGCAGACAGAUGCUUUAAGCAAUGAAGCAGCAGAAGAAGAAACUCCAGCAGUGUUUAUAAGGAAAUCCUUUCAAGAGGAGAAUCAUAUCAUGAGCAAUCUGCGACAGGUAGGUCUGAAAAAACCCAUGGAGCGUUCUUCAGUGCUUGAGAGAUAUCCUCCAGCAGCAAAUGAGCUUGCUAUGAGGAAAUCCUGGAUACCGUGGAUGAAAAAGAGGGAAGCUGGGGCUCAGACAACUCCUGAUAAAGGAGCCCGAACCCACAGUAGUCCAGCACAUCCUGGGGAGGUUGUCCUUUCACCAAAGCAGGGUCAGCCUCUUCAUAUUCGGGUGACACCAGACCAUGAGAACAGUACAGCAACUUUGGAGAUAACCAGUCCAUCUGCAGAGGAAUUUUUUUCAAGUACCACUGUCAUUCCUACUUUGGGAAAUCAGAAGCCACGAAUAACCAUCAUUCCCUCUCCAAAUGUUAUGCCACAAAAAGGAAAAGGCAGUGAAAGUCCCAUGGGCCCAGAUCGUUCCAUGUCUCCAGUCACUAUAACAACAUUCUCCAGGGAAAAGUCCCCAGAGGGAGGGAGAGCACCCUUUGCUGACAGACCUGCAUCGCCAAUUCAGAUUAUGACAGUAUCAACCUCUGCAGCACCAGCAGAAAUCUCAGUCUCUCCACAGUCACAAGAUAUGACCAUGGGAAGGGCUGUCUUCAAAGUCACGCCAGAAAAGCAAACCGUCCCGACUCCAAUCCGCAAGUACAAUGCCAAUGCCAACAUUAUUACAACAGAGGACAACAAAAUCCACAUCCACUUGGGCUCCCAGUUCAAACGUUCUCCCAGUGCUGCGCCUGACGGUGCGAGCCCUGUGAUAACAGUCCGGCCGGUGAACAUCGCGGCAGAGAAAGAGGUGGUGACUGGCACUGUCCUUCGAUCACCUCGGAACAACCUGUCCCCGCGACCUGCAGCCAGCAAGGUGACAAGCACUAUCACCAUCACGCCUGUUACAACGUCUUCCACACGAGGAACACAAUCAAUGACAGGACAGGACGGGUUAUCCCCGAGACCUACACCCACCCGCAUUCCUGUGUCAAAAGGUAUGAAAGCAGGAAAGCCGGUAGUGGCAGCCCCAGGAGCAGGAAAUGUGACAAAAUUCGAGCCUCGUGCUGAGACUCAGUCUAUGAAAAUAGAACUGAAGAAAUCUUCAGCCAGCAGCUCUGCCUCCCUGGGCGGGGGUCAGGGUUGAUGGCCGUGGCUCAGGGGGUACGUUCUGCAGGUUUUACUGCUGCCAUGGAAGUCAGCUCCCCUGUCUGUGUAGUUGUUCACGUUUGCCUGUACUAAUGAAGUCCUGCAGAUGAUACUUAACAACAAACUAAUAAGUGUGUGCACUGACUACUUAAAUAACCAAACCAUUUUGUUUCCUUACUCAAGUUUAAAAAAAAAAAAAAAAAAAAAAAAAAGCUGUCAAAAAGGCAAUUUUAUGCCAGGAAGAUUUUCAGUCUAGGAAGUGAGAAUGGGGUAACUGGUUAUUAAUCUAGUUCAGGAAUUCUUAAUGAUAGACUUGAUCACUUUUUAGUAGAUCAAAGGAAGUUUGGUCACAUGUACUAGAUUGUUUUCCACCUUAACAGAUCACUUUCCACUUUUGCUGCUGCAUGGUCUGCUUUCUUUCCUGCCUUGAUCACAUUAUUGAAAUGCCACAUGGCCUAGGGAAGCAAUGCCAGAAGACUUGCCAUGUGCACUUGAGGUCCUGUUUUAAUGAAAGUCAGUACCUCGUGUGUUUGUGGGGGGGGGGAAGAGAGGAAGGAUGGGCACCAUGUGACCAUGUGGCCUUCUGUCUAGGAGCCUCCCAUCAAAAUCACCAUUUCUCAGUGGUGAGCUGCUUUCUCAAGAUAGUUACUAAACUCAAGGGCAUAGGGAUGUUGCAUAAUGUUUGGCAGCAACUUAAUUCUUCCAGAGAGAGUUAACACUUGUAGACAGCACUUAGAACCAGGUUCCUGAUUUACACACACUGGAAUGCUGCCAGCUCAGGACUCAGAUGAAGGCUUGUGAGCCAGAAGGUGUUUAGUCUUCAGCAAAAGCUUGAGAAACACUGUCUGGUAAAAAUUGACACAAUCCAUUUGAGCCUGCUCCAAAGACCACUAAAGGCUAUGAAGCAACUCAUUCGAUUGAUCUGACUAGGCUUUCAGUUUUCCUGGUUGGGUCUUACAUUUAAACCUUAGUUGCCAAGCAUCCUUAUUAUGUCUUAGAGGGUAAGUCAGCACAGACUGCUGGUGGCAGGAAUUGCUGUCUAAAGGCACAGCUCAGGUAGAAAGAGAGAGGAUUUGGUAAUGAAAUUAUUCCCAGUUUUCAGUUGUUUAAAAUAUUUUGUCAUAAAAUGCAGACCACCUUACAUACACCAUGGUGAUUCAUCAUUUUUCCUUCCCUCUUCGUGAUUUCCUCAUCUGUAUGUUUGCAUUUUUUAAGCAUGUUUUAAGGAAUUUUUCUAGCAUGGAAAUAGUGUGGAUGCUGAUGGUUGUUAUGAUUGUUUAAUUAUUUAAUGACAGUUGAAUUAUUAAAGCACAUUUCCAUUCAGUGAUCAAUUUUCACAGAAGAAAGUCACAAUCAAAAGAAAUGAAGCUGUGCAGACUAAUAAAUGAUGGGUUUAAAGUUGUAUAAUGCUUCAACCACCUCAGCAAGCUGUGAAGGGCCCAGUGGUUAAAACAGAAAGAAAGGUGGGAAGUCCACCAAUAAAUUACAAACAAAAUUCACAGAAAGGAAAAUGCACCAGUGGUUGAAAUAAGAAAUUUGGCCUGGGAGAAGAUAUUUGAUGGAAGACUCUAUCACCGAAGGUCAACAAAAUUAUACUCAAUCCAAGCAGUGUUUAGUUUUCUGUCUGCUUUGCAUUGCUGUAGAAUUUUAAAACCAGAUACAGCAAUCUUCCCAAUGUAAAGCUGACAUUUUAUCAUUCACAUAAAGGGGAUUUUUUCUUUGCCACAUUAAAAAAAGAGGAGGUUUUGGUUUGUCACAUGUGUAGCGCCUAAAAUGGUUGUUAAUUUUAAGGUUUUUAUUCCUAUGACAUCCAAAAAUCAGAUUGGUAUUAGUAGCAUUUUUUUGUAACUCCUAUUCCCAGUACUUCAGAUUAAACUUGGAAACUGGAAUUAGCAAGCAAUGUGAAUUACUAUGUCAGAAAUACAUCAGAUCCUCUCAAGUAAUUCUUAUCACUUAAAAGCCUCAGUAUGUCAAUAAAUUGUUGCUGAGAUCUUACUGUUCUUACUGUAACACAGACAUUUUAACAGCUAUUUAAAAGAACAAACAGGGUUUUUUUCUGGAUUUUCACCCUAAAUACUGUUACUGAAGGAAGUUGUAAGGUCAAACCAGUGAAAUAAUAUUGCAAACAUGAUCCCCAGGCAUCAAGUGUGGAUUGAUACAGCUGCCUUAAGCUUUCCUUGUGUCAAAGAAAUUUUGUUCCUUAGUUGACUGUCACCAUGCUCAAUAUCCUUUGUGUGCUUGUUGUUGAAAAUUUUGUUUGUUUGAGGUCUAAGAAACUAAUUCACCUGAAGAAACAAGCCAGCCUCACAGUACCUGAUAUCUAGGGCACAGAAACUGGCAAAGCUAGAGCCACAAAUGCAGGCACAGGCUAGGAAUUGCUCCUGUGGAGUCAGUAGGAUUUGAUGAGACAAACUUCAGAAAUUCCAGAGAGGUCAGACUUAGGAUCCUGUUAUUUUUCCCCAGGGGCUGCACAUCAAAAAUGGACUUUUGUUCUGCAGCAGAAGUCUAAAGGGUUGGAAUCGGGCAGCUGGUUAAACUGUUAGCUAAAAACAGGUAUUUAGUUAUACUCAAAACUUUUGACAUCUGUUUUAAUUGACCUAAUAUUCUUAUUUCCUAAAGGUAGAACAAAGGUAAAAUGACUUGAAAAGAAAGCCCAUAGUUCAGAAAUCUUAAAAGUUCAAGGCUAACUAUUUGUAUUACAUUGAAAUUUCCUUUGAAUCUGAAGACAGUUAUGUUUCGUGACUACAGUAAGAUUCUCCAUUCAGUAGGUCAGCUCCAAAAGGCAAUUUAAACAACGAAAUCUAAAAACAGUGCCUAAGCACAAGAGGCAUCCGGAAGAUCUUCUUGAUGUUCUUCCCUUGUCUAGUCAGUGUUUCUGUUAUGACUUAAAUGUAGCACUGCAGCCUCUGUACCUCAGUGAGAUCCGUAAUGCAGGUAUUCUUGUAUUUCCUCCGAGGCUUUUAAGUCAAGCCACUAUUUCAUGGUCACUUAAAGUCAGGCUCUAACUCCACACUGGACUGAAAAGCUAUAGUCCUGUCUCUGUCACCUCCAACCAAGAAAGUAGUCACUGACUAUGUGGUGGGACAAGUGUUUGAACUUAACUGGGGAACUGAUCUGAAUUAAAAGGAAUCUGGCAAAAAAGCACAGAGGCUGGCUUUAAUGUAACUCUGUGCCAAGCUUACAGGCCAGAAAAAAAAAACAGAGGGCAUAGGAAACCAGUUGGUGGUUUAAAGUGAAUGUAGGAUCAUGAAUGUCUUCUAGUAGAUCAAAUACCACACAAACACAGGGGUAGUGCUGCUUAUUGUCAAAAGGUUUUGAUUGAAACCUUUUUUCAAAGGUAGGAGACAAGUUCCCCUUUUCAACUGUACCUGAGGAGAUUCAAACCCACUUCAGCUGCAGGCAGGUUCACUAGUGGCACUAGCAGCUGAGGGGGAUGAAGGUGGCAUUCUCAUUCCCUCCUGGAAAGACUGUGCCGUUCUGCAUGGAAUGCUUCAGUAUUCACUCAGCAGAAACAAGAGAGUGGUUGAGGGGUCAGGAUACUGACCUAGGAGGGAGCUUCCCCAGAUUCAUGUCCCUGUUCCCAAGGCUGCCUUUGAGCCUAGCCCUUUUGAAAAGGAGGCUUAUAAGAUGGAGUGUCUGUGUUCAUCCAUACUUCCAUCUCUCCUUCCCUAAUGAAUAGCACCGAACACACCAACCAAUUUCAUCCAAACCCGACAAAGCAAUAGGGGACUCCAGAAUAAGUUGUUCCAGUUUAAUGAAAAGGAUGGCAGAGAAAAGAAGCAAGACUUUAGCAGUGCCUCACUGUGUAGAAGAGUAGGGCAUGAGCUCACCUUCACACAGCAUCAAAGAAUGAACACAAGAGUGAUGUCAGAAAUACCAUAAGGACAAGCUUUGUUCAGACCUCAGAAUUUACUAGGCACCAAAGAAUUAAACUCUGAUACAUCGAUCCAAAGUAAAAUAUUAGGGCUUUCUUUACAGGGCUUUUGUGUAUUAUACAUUACUGGAUUAUAAUACAUAAACUAAGCCUUACUAAGUGAUCAUUUGGAAUCACUCAUUCUCAUGCUUUCUCCCUCUUUACCUUUUUUCUUAGUCAUUUUGUUUGGGAUUUUUUUCAUAAUGAAGUGGAACAAUUUCAGUAGCAAAAUAAUGUACUCAGAAUCGUAAUGAUAGUUACAGUGCUUUGUCAGGAACUAAGAUGACUGACCAAUCUUUGUACUUUUAGUCACAUUCAGUGUCAGCUGGAGAGAAGCCCUGUUUUGGCUGAUGACAUGGCCAUAUAAACAGUUGUGAUAACUCAAGCCCAUCAGCAGUAACAUAUGGCAUAGCACCAGCCGUAAGGUAGAGAGGGGGAAGGGCAGGGAAAAUGCUAGCCCAUUCACGAGCAGCACACAUGGACUGAGAAGAUGCACCCUUAGUUCUCCAGAUGAUCUCCCUGAUUUUAAGUCUAGUUCGUAACAAGUUUUCUACUGUGUCCAUGAAAUUAGAGCCCAUCACCAGACUUACUGCCACAUAGGGGUAUUGCUAAUGUAGUCAUUAGUAGAUCAAUACAUUUGAGUAAGUGCCAGUGAAAAAGGAGCACAGAGUUUCAGCUGUAAUGCCUGGGGGGAUUUCUCUCAGAUUAGUAAACAUCCUGGGCAAAUGGUAGAAGAAAAACAGAGGUUUUGCUUUACUUUGCUCACCUUUUUUCCUUUUGUGACACCUGUUAGUGGGAUUUUUCAAAAACCAAACACGUUGUGACUCUUUGUAGUAGGCCCAUAGAGUACACAUCACUGUAUUUAAACCUCAAACCACUUAAAGCUCUUAGUAAUUACCACCAUGGGAGUAAUCUCUAAAGUCACAUUAAUAUGUUGAUCCGUGCCAACAGGAUGCCAAGUGGUAUGUCCCUGCUUGAAAUAUGCCAAACACUUUCUAAAAUACACUCGGUAUUUACAUGAAUAUUCAGUAAUUCUGAUCAGAUGUGGAACAACAUGUCUUCAAAUGGAGCUUGCUACUGUCCUGCUGAAUUUCAGGUACUUGGCAUAAGCUGCAACAGUCAGGACAAUUUUCAGACCAAUUAUAUGUUCCCAUCACACAUCAGUGGCCAAUUUCACUGAGUUGCUUUGAAACACGUAGUUAGCUGGCAGGAGUUUUUGUGAGCUCAUCUUUUGAACUUGUUUUCAUUUAGGGGAAUGGUUUUCUCCCCUGUGUAAGUGUGAGUUAUCCUCUUUCUCUUAAUUUUGCUCUUGGGCAAAAUUAUAUGCAAUAUUUUUCAUUAUAGAUAUUAACUUCACUUUGAAUCUUACUCCCUACACAUUGCUCUUACCUUGGCUUCUUUUUUUCUCUUAAAAUGUAACCAGGGUUAACUUCUGUCAGGUGCAGAGCUAUCAGCUCUCAGGUAUGAAACACUCAGGUGUGAAUGGUUCUCCAAACAAAAAAAAAACCUCUCCUUGGGAUUUUAAAAACAGAAUUAGAAAUACUGAUGUAUGAUUCUCUUCUGUUGCUUGGGUGUGCAUUGUCUGCAAUUGUGGUACAUCUGUUUUUGUAUUAUCUGGUGAUACUUGUAUAUAUUGUAAGGAGAAAUUAAACUUUAUAUGUUAAAAUGUCACUUGAUGUGCUUCAUUAUAUGAACUGGUAUCUUGAUGUGUUUCCUCAAGAAGUUCUGCUUUACAUCAGUAGGACUGAAAGCAGAAUUAGCUGUUUUACAUUAACUUAAUUUUCUUUUUCUGUCAUUAAAAUAAAUUGUUUUGUUUAAGUGAAUACAUAGCUCCUUGGAAGAUUCCCAUCUAGAACCCUAGAAAAAAUUAUUUAAUCAUAUCCUUCAAAUAGAAUCAUAUUCCUACCAUAUUCCAUGGAUAUGAAUAUAUCAUAUCCAUUCCCCAGAGAGUGGCCCAAAAGAACUCUGACAAAAUCUGCCCUACUCUAAUUUUAGCUUAGUAACUGUUCAGACACCUCUUUUAGUAACACACGUGUGUGUGUGUGUGUGUGUGUGUGUGUAUGUGUGUAUAAUAUAUAUAUUCAUACAUAUAUAUAAGCAUUUCAAAUACAACUGAGACAAUCUUGAAGCAUGUGUUCUUUAGGUGUGUGAGAAAUUAAUGGAAGAUAAAUAUCAGUGGAAACUAUCUGACUUCUUUAAAAAUUACUUUUUCUCCUACUAUUUUCUGCACAAUUACUGUUUGGGUCUGUAGGAGAAAGGUGUUUAAUCCAGACACUGGCUGCAGUUUUGAUGUUCAUUCAGUGACUAAGCCUUAACAAGGAGUGUGAUAUUUUUCUGCUGCCCAUUGUUUUAGGAUUUUGUGUCUACACUCCUUAUUAAAUGUGCACAGUGAAUAUUAAAAAAAUAUUUAUUCUUUAAAAAAUAAUAUUUUUAAUAUUAAGAAAAUAAUUUCUAAACAUAGCUUUUAACAUCAUAUUCCACAAGAGCUUCAAGCUAGAACAGCACUGGCUGUAAGGUAAAAUCAAACAAUAGUUGGUUCUUUCACAUUCACUGUUCAAGUGUGGUAGAACUGGUGUACGUUUCUUGUUGAAAAUCAUUUGUUAUUGAUAAAUUUUGUGGAAAAUAAAUACUUCCAAUUCGGGAAAUUCUAUUAUUUCAUUUGUCUUAAUGUAUUUUAUUGGACGUUGCUUCAGCCCUGCUCUUGCUUCACCACGUAUGAAAGGCAGCACUGGGAUCUGCCAUCUAGUGGCAAAGUUCUGGCAAUAAGAGCACAUGGAAAAUAUUUUCAUUUUUCUUUCUUUCUAUAAUCUAACUUCAUGAAACACCUUGAAAAUAUUAGCUACGAGGCAGAUAAAAGCAAAAGUCCAUAAAAAUGUAAAAGGCAAAAGUUAUACCAAUAGUGUAAUUUCUUGGGUCACGUAAAUUCUGAAAAAUCUUCAUACUAUUAAAAAAGGAAGUUAACAAAAGUAAUUUCAAUUAAGAUGAAUAUUUCUGAAAAUGUAUAACUGUAUGCUUUAAUUAGUUUUGGUACAGUUACAUUAUUUGAAAUGCAUAAAAUACACCUUAGAGAAAAAUGUUAAUUGACAGUAAAUUCUUGUAUUAAAAAGUUAUUCUUAUAUUAAAAAAGCUGCCUGUGAGCUGCAUAUAUAGGUAGAAGAACAGAAGAUCAGGCCCUUAGUACUUCAGCAGAGGCCAGGGGUUAAUCAGGAUCAGGCACCUCUGAUACUACACACUGGGCAAAAUUAAAUCCAGCCUUUUAAAGAAAAUGCCAACACAUAGUUUUGCAUGCUGUGUCUGAAAUUUAUCCCCAUUAAAGUCAGUAGCAAAAUUCAAGAAGACUCACUGAAUAAACACAGCAUAGGUUUCUAUAGGUUUCUAAAAAAAAAAAAAGAUAAAUUAUCCCAUACCUCUUCCUCAUUUAUGAAUUGCCACCAGAUUUAUGAUGAAGUUGCUUAGACAAGAUAUUAGACGCCCAACUCCAAGUCUUUCUCUACCUAGUUUGGGUGUGGAACUGGAACUUUGGUGUCCCUCUGCUUUAAUCCAUUCAACUGUAUUACUCCUUUUUCCUAUGGACAACCAAAUCAUGGUCUUGACACUGAAGUGGAAGCCAAGGUCCUCUGAGCCCUCGACAGAGAGUGUCAUCAUUCACCAGUUACGCGUGAACUCUAGAUGAGUUACCACCCGAUAGAGCUCUCUGUGUGCACUACCCUCCAUGCCUGUGGAUGGAUCACUGUAGAAGCUCUCUGCCAGCAACACCAGGGUCACUUGUGCUACUGAUUAUUUGUGGAAGUUUUAGUGCUUCCAUUAGGUUUUAUAUAUUUUUUCUUCUUGGUAGAGAUUUAAAAAUGAAUGGCUUUGCUGGUAUUUUAAAAGUACCUAAUCAGAGAGAGAGCAGCAAUCUUUCUGCCAGCUGAAUUUCACUUUUAAUUGCAAAGCCUAAGGCACCUGCUUGAUUUUGUUUGAUAUCUGCCAUAUAAUUUAUUUUUAUAAUACACUUUGUAAAGUAGCUGUGCCGAAGUUGCAAUUCCUGUUGCUUAUUAUGCAUUUAUUUGUAGAAUACAGUGUCAAAUUUACAAUUUGAUAUUUUUGUAAUAGAGAGUAUGUGAAGAAAGAAAAAUGUAACUUCAGCAAUGUUUUCUGUUUAAAUGGAAAAGUAUUCAGUACAUUUUUUUGCCACCAUGAGAUUCUGUGAGACUAAAUACUCUGAAGACUGCUGUAUGGAAUUUGUUGCAGAAUAUUUCUUGCACUGUGUGAUGGUUUGGCAUAAAAUUAAGUAUUAAAGUCCAAUGCCUUGAAAUACAACCAGAUUUACUCAUUUUAAACAAUGUAAGUCAGUUUUUAAAGCUGUGAUUUUUUUCUAUAUAAAGUAUGUUUUUACUUCUGCCUGUACCAAAAAAGUCGAUUUUCAUUACACUGUAACUAAUAAAUUUUCACAACUAUGCAAAUAUAA